rnacentral:rRNA from 1 species
UAGGGAAUCUUCCGCAAUGGACGCAAGUCUGACGGAGCAACGCCGCGUGAGUGAAGAAGGUUUUCGGUUCGUAAAACUCUGUUGUUAGAGAAGAACAGCGCAUAGAGUAACUGUUAUGCGUGUGACGGUAUCUAACCAGAAAGCCACGGCUAACUACGUGCCAGCAGCCGCGGUAAUACGUAGGUGGCAAGCGUUGUCCGGAUUUAUUGGGCGUAAAGCGAGCGCAGGCGGUUAGAAAAGUCUGAAGUGAAAGGCAGUGGCUCAACCAUUGUAGGCUUUGGAAACUGUUUAACUUGAGUGCAGAAGGGGAGAGUGGAAUUCCAUGUGUAGCGGUGAAAUGCGUAGAUAUAUGGAGGAACACCGGUGGCGAAAGCGGCUCUCUGGUCUGUAACUGACGCUGAGGCUCGAAAGCGUGGGGAGCGAACAGG